CGCGUGUUGUUGGUGCCUGUUUGCCUCCUUGAUCGCGAGGUGUGGGUCGCGCUCUGGUAUCGUGCGGUAGACAAAUUUGACAAUGCCGAGGUGACCGCCUUGGAUGGCCUCGUACAUGAUCAUUGGGCACAUGCCCGGACGCACGCCCUCGGCGUAGAUGUAGCGCAUGGCCGCAAGGUGGCCGGCACGCGCCGCCUGGCCCCAAGCGUCCACCCAUGGGUCGGGCGGACCCCCCACCGCAUUGCGGGCGGUCUCGCUGCCGGGAAUGUCAACAUAACCGGGAGGAGGGUGACGACAACUGUGGUAGCCGGUACGCUGACCAAAUGCGGGAUCGCGCAACAGGCGCAGCGUCGACACGUGCCCACCAGCCAAGGCUGCGCCCAUGGGGUGCGCUCUCUGCCACACAUGUGGAUCGACACCGGUGCGACGCGCCAGCCAGUCGAGGACAUCAUCGCGACCAGCGCCCGCGGCCGACCGGAUGGAUGCAACGAUGACAUCAAUCAGUGACAUGUAAUCCGUCGGCUUGUCCAUGCACCAUGCGACAAUGUCAAUAUGCCCUGCGGCCGCCGCAGCGCCGGCCAUACGUGCGCGCGUAUCUGUGCGACAACUCUUGUGCCGCAUAACCAGUUUGAUGGUGGCCAAGUUGCCAGUGGCUGCGGCGGCCGUCAGUGCCUCGCAAACACGUGACUCUGUCGCUGCAUGCAGGACCCAGCCAAUGUGCGCCACCAUGGCAGUAUGGCCGGCCGCUAUGGCUAGGAUCGCGCCAUCGAUGGUAUGUCUCUCACGACGCUCGAUGGACGCAGGAUCGGCGGGCGCCGUAAGAGACGCCGUCUCAACACAAAAAGAAUAGGCAUCCACGCAGCCACCGGCGACGGCGGCAUAGAUCAUGUCGUCGGCAUGCCGCUCAAAGAGCGUCGGAUAAACUUUGGCCAGCAUACGCAACACGUCAAUGUGUCUGCCGCGCGCCGCACCGACAAAGGCCGCUUCAGACGGCACAUAAGGCACUUGCAUUUGCGCUGUAAUCCGCUGGGCGACUUCAAUACGACCAUGGGCGAGCGCGGCGUCGGCCGCGCGCUGCAGGCCCUCGGCACAAUGAGCCGAUUGAUGGUCUAGGAGGAAAAGAACCACGUCAAAGUGCCUUGCCUCGGCGGCGUCGGCGAUGGCACGCCAGGUGCACCCUUCGGUCCGUUUUUCGUCGAGGUAGACGACGGCACCAAGAUGGCCUUUAGCAGCAGCGGCGUCCAUCGCGCGAUGAUCGCCUGGCUGCCUCACGGGACACUCGUCGGUGAGUGCACGCAACAUGGCCACGUCGCCGUUGGCUGCCGCUGCGGCCAGGGCCACUGCUGUCGAACCCUCGCGGCGAUUACGCAAGAGGUAGGCGACAACAUCUAGAUGGCCGUUGGCGGCGGCGCGAUUGACACCACCCACCGAGCACCCCUCGGUACGCCUCUCGUGCAGGUAGAUAAGGACGUCUAGGUGACCGUUGGCCGCGGCAUAGUCCAUGGCCCGCCGGGUGCAUCCCUCGGUGCGAUGGCGGUGGAGAAAGUCGACAAUAGCCAGAUGGCCGCGGGCUGCGGCGCGAUUCAUGGCAUACGUCGUGCACCCUUCUCGGCGGUGAUGGUGCAAAAAGACAAUGACGUCCAGGUGACCACCAUCGGCGGCACAGUCCAUCACACCCUGGUCGAAUCCAGGCGCGCCCAUUUCGUGCAGCGCCACAAGGAGACCAAGAUGGCCGCGGUAGGCGGCCAAACACGGCGCCUCUGUAUAGUCGCCCAGGUCGAGGCGGCCCAGCGCCACGAGGCCGCGGAUGGCCGUCGCAUUGCCCGCGUCCAAUAAAUCCGACGGACCCGACCAGGACCGCGAGAUCACGAUGCGCCGCGCAUAGUCGGCCGGCGAGUGGGCGCGCCACAGGCGUGACGCCGCUAUGCACGCACAAAAGUCGGUGUUGCCGAGGAGACUCGUGAUCCCGUUGAUGAUCUCGGGCGGCAAGUCAUAGAGGCUCGUCAGACAUGCUUGCGGCCACUCCAUGUUUUGUUUUUUUUUGUAUUGUUCUUGUAUUGUUGUUUUUCAGACCCACCCUUAAAACUUUUUGUGUGCCCCCCUUUUUUGUUGCUGCGGGCCUUGCGCAAGGCCCGCCCAACAACAAAAAUGACAGAGCAAACCGCUCACGGCAAGGCAGGCGCCCGCGCACAGCGUUGGUUUUUAAAAAAAAUAUAUAUUUGUGCCGGUCACGGAUCA
rnacentral:lncRNA from 1 species